CGGCAUCAUUCGAUUUCUCGAUAAAAAUAAACCAUACUUGCUUUGGAAACUUAAACAAAAUUCCAAAUGCUAAGGUCUCGAAUAAAAAUCAUAAUAACUCGGUCACAAUGACACACGUCACAAAAUCACAUAAUUACUCAGUCACGUAAAUUCACAUAACAUCACAUCAAAACAGUCGGCAGGCUCAAAUAAGCUAGACGUCUCUCUGACCGACUCUAUAUAUCAAGGUUUCUC
rnacentral:lncRNA from 1 species